rnacentral:rRNA from 1 species
GACGUAGGGCGCGAGCGUUGUCCGGAAUUAUUGGGCGUAAAGCGCGUGUAGGCGGCCAGAUAGGUCUGCUGUGAAAACUCGAGGCUCAACUUCGAGAUGUCGGCGGAAACCAUUUGGCUAGAGUCCGGAAGAGGAGAGUGGAAUUCCCGGUGUAGCGGUGAAAUGCGUAGAUAUCGGGAGGAACAUCAGUGGCGAAGGCGGCUACCUGGCCCAAUACUGACACUCAGGUGCGACAGCGUGGGGAGCAAACAGG